CACCAGACUCCUACGGGAGGCAGCAGUGGGGAAUAUUGGGCAAUGGGCGCAAGCCUGACCCAGCAACGCCGCGUGAAGGAAGAAGGCUUUCGGGUUGUAAACUUCUUUUAAGGGGGAAGAGCAGAAGACGGUACCCCUUGAAUAAGCCACGGCUAACUACGUGCCAGCAGCCGCGGUAAUACGUAGGUGGCAAGCGUUGUCCGGAUUUACUGGGUGUAAAGGGCGUGCAGCCGGGACUGCAAGUCAGAUGUGAAAUCCGCGGGCUUAACCCGCGAACUGCAUUUGAAACUGCGGAUCUUGAGUACCGGAGAGGUUAUCGGAAUUCCUUGUGUAGCGGUGAAAUGCGUAGAUAUAAGGAGGAACACCAGUGGCGAAGGCGACUUUCUGGACUGUACCUGACGCUGAGGCGCGAAAGCGUGGGUAGCGAACGGGAUUAGAUACCCCAGUA
rnacentral:rRNA from 1 species